AUAAAAAAAUUAUAAAUGACCAAAUCAAAACUUAUUUAAAGUAAAUAAAAUAAGGUGUCUUACUAUCUUUUGACAAAAUAUCAACAAAAGAUUUGAAAACUUUUAAAAAGAUUAUAUAUUGAUGAUAAAUGGACAACCUAAAAAACCAGCUAUUUUAUAUUUUAUUACUAAAUAUUAAAAUAAUGAAUGUUUCCAAAUAUUAUAGGAACAACAUUAAUGA
rnacentral:lncRNA from 1 species